rnacentral:lncRNA from 1 species
GUUUAAUCCCAUACAUGAUCAACAACAUACAUAAAAAUUAAAACUUUUCCUUUCAUACAUUCUCUCAUACACCAAACUCAACCUGUGCAUGCACUGAACAUAGACAUAAUCAUAAGCAUUGACCCCUCUGUGGGAUCUCAUCAAUGCCCCAAUGGGCGAUACAACAUAAGUUGAGUUGGUUUACAUAAACAUCAUAAAACAUCUAAGAUCAUGUAUUAAAAGGGAUAAC